GAUCUCGCUGGAGACUAGCCCUAUUGCAUUUGGUGUGUUCUAGGGAGCAAGGAUAAUCUUCUUCUGUCAACAUGCUUUCUGCCACCUGUUCAGUUCUUGUGAUCUUCUUAACAUUCAGAGUGACCAAUGGAGACUCAGUGACCCAGACAGAAGUCCCUGUUACCCUCACCGAGGGGGCGUCUGUGAUCCUCAACUGCAAUUACCAGACCACUUACUCAGCUCCUUACCUUUUUUGGUAUGUCCAGUAUCGCAGCAAAGCUCCCUCUCUCCUCCUGAAGAGCUCAACAGAGCACCAGACGGCCGAGCAUCAGGGGUUCCAGGCCAAGCUUGUUAAGAGUGACAGGUCCUUCCACCUGGAGAAAUCCUCACUCCAAAUGUCAGACUCGGCUGUGUACUACUGCGCUCUGGGAGACACA